GGAAGGCUGAUGGACCCCUCACAGGGGACCCCACCCUCCUUCCACUGUGCUGUCCUCUCAGGUGGCCUGGACAGGGAGAGCGUGGGCCCCUGGGCAGGCAGCCCAGGGCAGUGGCAGGCUGGACGAGUAACCACAGGCCAGACCUGCAGCGAGGGCUCUGCCAGCACUCCUGCCCCAGGAAGGCCCCUGGACCUGUGACCAGGACAGCCCACAGCAGCCUCCCUGUGCCAGAGGCCAGUCUGGCUAAGUGGGGAGGCCCCCCCGAGGGUGGGGGGAGAGUUCUGCCUGGGGAUCAGCCCUACCCCAGCCCAACGGGGUCCUCCCAGUAGAGGCUGCAGCACCCCAGGCCCCAGCGCCCCUGGCUGGCUGCAGUGCUGAAGGUGGAGCAGUGAGGCCACAGGCCUAGAACUGUGACCAGCACCUGAAGGUCUCUGAGGACGUGACACAGCAGCUCGUGUGGCUCAGUGGCCACCACGAAGGCCCCAGGAGAACAGAUGACGAGGCCCAGAGUGAGGAUGCGCAGGAGCCAGGCGAACGUGGGGCUGCCCUCAGAGGACACUGGGGACCCCCGAGGGACUGCUUUGAGAGCAUGGUCCCUGCACCCUAGGCGGUGGGGAGCAGUGCAGGAG